rnacentral:rRNA from 1 species
AGAGUUUGAUCCUGGCUCAGGAUGAACGCUAGCGACAGGCUUAACACAUGCAAGUCGAGGGGCAUCGAGGGAGUGGCAACACUUCUGUCGGCGACCGGCGCACGGGUGAGUAACGCGUAUGCAACCUGCCCUUCACAGGGGGAUAACCGGGAGAAAUUCCGACUAAUACCGCAUACGUCCUCCGGGGGCAUCCCCGGGGGAUGAAAGAAUUAUCGGUGAAGGAUGGGCAUGCGUGAUAUUAGGUAGUUGGCGGGGCAACGGCCCACCAAGCCCACGAUAUCUAGGGGUUCUGAGAGGAAGGUCCCCCACAUUGGUACUGAGACACGGACCAAACUCCUACGGGAGGCAGCAGUGAGGAAUAUUGGUCAAUGGACGAGAGUCUGAACCAGCCAAGUCGCGUGAAGGAAGACGGAUCUAUGGUUUGUAAACUUCUUUAGUGCGGGAACAAAGCGGUGUCGUGACGCCGGAUGAGUGUACCGCAAGAAUAAGCAUCGGCUAACUCCGUGCCAGCAGCCGCGGUAAUACGGAGGAUUCGAGCGUUAUCCGGAUUUAUUGGGUUUAAAGGGAGCGCAGGCUGCGAGGCAAGUCAGCGGUCAAAUGUCGGGGCUCAACCCCGGCCUGCCGUUGAAACUGUCCUGCUAGAGUUCGAGUGAGGUAUGCGGAAUGCGUUGUGUAGCGGUGAAAUGCAUAGAUAUGACGCAGAACUCCGAUUGCGAAGGCAGCAUACCAACUCGCGACUGACGCUGAGGCUCGAAAGCGUGGGUAUCGAACAGGAUUAGAUACCCUGGUAGUCCACGCAGUAAACGAUGAAUACUAACUGUUCGGAGGGCGACCUC